rnacentral:rRNA from 1 species
AUUGAACGCUGGCGGAAUGCUUUACACAUGCAAGUCGAACGGCAGCACGGGGCAACCUGGUGGCGAGUGGCGAACGGGUGAGUAAUACAUCGGAACGUGCCCAAUCGUGGGGGAUAACGUAGCGAAAGUUACGCUAAUACCGCAUACGAUCUACGGAUGAAAGCGGGGGAUCGCAAGACCUCGCGCGAAUGGAGCGGCCGAUGUCAGAUUAGGUAGUUGGUGGGGUAAAGGCUCACCAAGCCAACGAUCUGUAGCUGGUCUGAGAGGACGACCAGCCACACUGGAACUGAGACACGGUCCAGACUCCUACGGGAGGCAGCAGUGGGGAAUUUUGGACAAUGGGCGCAAGCCUGAUCCAGCCAUUCCGCGUGCAGGAUGAAGGCCUUCGGGUUGUAAACUGCUUUGUACGUACGAAACGGCUGCCUAAUACGUCGGCUAAUGACGGUACCGUAACGAAUAAGACACCGGCUAACUACGUGCCAGCAGCCGCGGUAAU